rnacentral:tRNA from 1 species
AGCUUUAUAGUCAAAUUUAUGAUUUUAGACUGCAAUUCUGAAGUUGGGUAUGUUCCCCUAAAGCUU